rnacentral:lncRNA from 1 species
CUCCCAAGUGCUGGGGGUUAGAGGCACAAGCCACUAAGCCUGGCUUCCUUCCAAUCUUUUGCCAGGCUGGAGAUAGAGCCCAGGGUCUUAUGCAUGCCAGCCCUCAGACCGGAGCGUGAUGCAUGUAAAUGCUCAGGAAGACAUCUACAUCUUGCAAAAGGGUGAAGCAACUAUGGGAAGUGGAUACUCACAUACCCAGCCCUCAGAUGCGCACCGGCCCCAGUGCAGAUGUGGCCGCUGCCAGCCCUCGCCUGUGUCUCGCGCCGGCUUGGAGCUUGGAGAGGCGCCUCCCCCACCCCACCUGGAGGAGACCCCACUUUCUUCCUCCCACAGACCCUUGUAGCCCCCGUGAUGCCCCCUAAACCCA